CCUACGGGGGGCUGCAGUGGGGGAUAUUGCACAAUGGGCGAAACCCUGAUGCAGCGACGCCGCGUGGGUGAAGAAGGGCCUCGGCGCGUAAAGCUCUGUCAGCAGGGAAGAAAAUGACGGUACCUGAAGAAGAAGCCCCGGCUAACUACGGGCCAGCAGCCGCGGGAAGACGUAGGGGGCAAGCGUUAUCCGGAUUGAAUGGGUGUAAAGGGGGCGGAGACGGCGAUGCAAGUCAGGAGUGAAAGCCCGGGGCCCAACCCCGGGACUGCUCUUGGAACUGCGUGGCUAGAGUGCAGGAGGGGCAGGCGGAAUUCCUGGUGUAGCGGUGAAAUGCGUAGAUAUCAGGAGGAACACCGGUGGCGAAGGCGGCCUGCUGGACUGCAACUGACGUUGAGGCCCGAAAGCGUGGGGAGCAAACAGGAUUAGAUACCCUUGUAGUC
rnacentral:rRNA from 1 species